ACUCAGCUGCUUAACUCCCAUCGACUUCACUAAGACAAAGACAUUUAAUAUCACUGAGGAUCUGGGCCCAAUGUGGUUUGGAAUAUCCUGUUGGAUACCAUUCCUUAUCUUCAGGUGACUAAGGACUCCAAAAACCCAGUCCCAAAUGCCCUCAGAGAUUUUGGACAAUCAGCAUAUAACUCUCUCCUGGGCUGCCCGGUUAAAGGCCACUGUGAUGAUGCUGGAAAAGCCAUCCAGACAAGCUUGGAAGGAGACAAAAGCCUGGAUUUGGAAGGGCUUGACAAUGAGAUGGCAUGGAUGGUUGGGGUUUGAGCGCCAAGGCGUGCUGCAGGACCUCAGUCCACUGGGAGACAAAGCUGGAACGUGUUCUCCAUGCUCAGACCCACAUUAUAGACACGGGCUGAAUAUUCCCCACUGGGAUGUGGGAGAGAAUCAGAAAGGUAAAAUUCCAAACCAUCGUGAGAUAAGAUAAAGACAGUUUAAUAGAUAAAGCAAAAGCUGUGCAUGCAAGCAAAACAAACUCCUCCCAUCAGCAGACAUUACCGGGAAAGCUGGGUUCUGUCACACAUCAUGGUGAUUGGGAAGACAAAUGCCAUCGCUCUGAACAUCCUCCCUUCCUCCUGCCCAGCUGUGUCCCCUCCCAGCUCCUUGCGCACCCCAGCCUCCUCUCUGUGCAAGCACUGCUCAGCAAUAGCUAAAACACUGGUCUGUUAUCGGCACUGUUUGGGUCACAAAUCCAAAACAGACCACCAAUACAAGUCACUAUGAAGAAAAUUAACUCUAUUGCAGCAAAAAGAGUCCAAAAAGAGCAAUAAGGGUCCUGGUGGAGUCAGGCUGGAUGAAAACAAUCUCAAGGCUGGUUCUCAGCAUCUCUGUAUUCCUGCUCUCAGAAAUGGCCACUCUCAUUUGUCUGAGGAUGAUUUACUAUCUGGAAAGUGAGCAAUGAUGCAGUGCCCAUGAGCUCAUGGGGACCGUCUCCACUCCAUGGUUCUCACCUGCAGUAACAU
rnacentral:lncRNA from 1 species